rnacentral:ncRNA from 2 species
GGAAUCCGGUGAGAGUCCGGAACGGUCCCGCCACUGUGAGCCCUCUCGGGCGAGUCAGGAC